rnacentral:lncRNA from 15 species
UAGUUGUUACUAUUUUCUGUAGAUUUAACCAAAAACGGUUUAGCCUGUUUUAUGAUAUUUCAACAUGAGUCUUCAUCAUUAUUCAAUAGCAACUUUGUAGGCAAAACAAGUUACAACAAAACUUUUGCCAGAAAUGUCACCUGUGUUUGACAGUAUUUUGUCACAUUUUGUUUUCUUUGAACAUUAACUCAAAAAGCUCAAUAUUUAUGUCAUUGAACCGUUCCAAAAGAUUAUUUUGAUCAAAUUCAAUGUACAAUCAGUUAGAAAAUCAGAAGUCAUUCUCACAGCAGUAUAAUUCAGUCGGGUGCUGGUCAAAUACAGGUAAUGCAAAACCGCACGGCAAAAGACUCAGCUCUGGACCAACUUCAAACUGCUUGGUAUUUAUUUAAACAAUUGAAAAACAAUUUUAAUAUUUUACAUUUGAAGUUUGUCCACAUUUGAGUUGUUUGGCAUGUGGCAACAGCUUUUUCUAUUUUUCAUAAAAGCAAACAAACAAAAAAUACCACUUUGAUAUUGUCACUUUGUAAACUAAAUAUCUAAAGAGCUGCAUAUUGAAAGGCAAACAAAUGAGUCCAAUGUGUUUUUCUAUCGAAAUGAGAAACUCACUCAAAAUGAUAUCAGAAGGGAGCUGAAUAUCUCUGCAGUGUCAAAGUCAGAUGAGGGUUUCUACAAGUGUGAAUGCUCAAAACAAGUGUCAGCACAGAGAUGUCAGUUAACGGUGAGUAAGAUUAAAACAAUAUUUGCAUUGCUAUAAUAACAGUUAUUAUUUAUUAUUAUUGCAGUGUCCAGGCCUGAAAGCGCUUCAUUUCCUGUGUCGUCGAUUGUUAGGUUGGUUUGUGGAAUCAUACUCAUCAUUCUUCUGCUCCUUUUGUGUUACUACAGACCGUUCAAAGGUUCAUGCUGUAUCAGAUCAAACCAGUCUGAGAGCGUCAAUCAGGACUCCGAUACAAAUCAUGUGGUCAACCAGAAUGAGGCUCAAUGUGAUAUGUACUCCACUCUUCUCCAUGGUGAUACUUCUCUCUAUGAAUCAAUCACACACCCUGAAGACACUGAAAACGGUGAUGAUUGUAUAUAUGAAUCAAUCAAAGGCUCUGAAGACACAGAUGAAGGUGAUGAUUGUAUCUAUGAAUCAAUCAAAGGCUCUGAAGACACUGAUGAAGGUACAGUAUACAGUGGCAGCCACUGGGAAUCAGUGGGUCCACCACUUUGGUCCAGACUGAAAUAUAACUGUAUUUUACAGACAUUCAUAUCAUAUUACUUAGUAUCAUGCAGUUAA